GGAAAGACCGCUUGGAAGGGAUCCAAGUGGGCGCUUGAAGGUGGAGAGAAAAGAGAGAAAGAUGGGGCCUUCAACCUUGCUCCUGAGACUUUAUAGGCUCGCCUCUUUCCCAAGACUCUCCCUUUAAGAUGGGCUUUCCGCAUGCGCUGUGCCCACCUCACCCUUGGGAACUGAGCAUGCGCAUUGUUUUUAGGGCACUUACCCAGACGCCCAUCUGAGGCUUUUCUCCCCUAUUCCGAUGGAAUGUGUCCCCGGAAGCUGAUACUUCGCCAUUUUUUUUUUUUUUUUUUUUUUUUUUUUGUCUCUUAACAGGCGGGCUGAGGAAGUUGCCUCUCUCUGGCGCCUGCAUUCAAUGAACGUUUGUAAUGUUAGCAGGUGUGGACCUUGAGGAGAUUUUCUCUCCCUGGCUGCCCAAUUAUCAUUUUUAGAGAGGCAAUGCGAUAAUUGCUGAACGAUGUCACCUGACAUUCCUAGCGGGUGGGAGAGAGCCCUCUCCUGCCCCGCUCAUUGCCUAACUACCUGUAACAGGUGUGUGGGUGAGUGCUCCCUGUGAUGGAACGGUGUCCUGUUCAGGACUGGGUGCCACCUGGCACCUUGAGCUGCCAGGACCGGCUCGGGCUGCUCGCGAUCCCAAACUAGAACAAAUGGAAAUGUUCAGUUGUCUAGCUCACAGGGAUAUCCACAAGCCAGACCCAGAAAGCCUUUGCUACCAUUGAUGAAGAUGCCAAGUCCACAGCCCAACAGCCAGAAGACCCUUGGUCUAGAUUCCAUGCACUGGAUUUUUACGGAUGAAGAAUAGGAAUGUGUUGAGAAGGGAUGGGAUGGUGAUAAAAUUAGAAACUGAAUGGUGGUUGUAUUGGUUCCUGAACCUUGUUAUUCCUCCUACCCCUAAGUUCCAUUUAAGAAGGGGUCCCAGGAGGUGGGUGACUCUGGCUGUUGGAAAACAUAAUUAGGCUUGACUUCUUACCUCUCACCACUAAUUCUUACCUCUCACCCUAAUUCUGAAGAAUUAGGUAACAAAACAAGCUCUGCACUGAGAGUCAAUAGGCAAGCUGAACUGUUCAAGUUGAAGACCCAACAGACAAAUCCCAAAAGAGAUUGCUUUACCUUUCAUCAGCAGGAUGGGAAAGAUUUAU
rnacentral:lncRNA from 10 species